GCCGCUGUAGCUCAGUUGGUAGAGCAACGCAUUCGUAAUGCGUGGGUCGUAGGUUCGAGUCCUAUCAGCGGCACCA
rnacentral:tRNA from 1 species